rnacentral:rRNA from 1 species
CAGCUAGCUUACUCACCAACAUAACCAAACAAUAUAAAUAAAAUAUAAUAGACAAAACACCAAAAACUAAACCAUUCUUUUACCUGAGUAUGGGAGACAGAAAAGGUUCAACCAAAGCAAUAGAAAUAGUACCGCAAGGGAAAGCUGAAAGAGAAAUGAAAUAAUCCAUACAAGUACCAAAAAGCAAAGACUAAACCUUGUACCUUUUGCAUCAUGAUUUAGCCAGUAAACACAAGCAAAGAGACCUUUAGUUUGAAACCCCGAAACCAGGUGAGCUACCCCGAGACAGCCUAUUAAGGGCCAACCCGUCUCUGUGGCAAAAGAGUGGGAAGAGCUCCGGGUAGAAGUGACAGACCUACCGAACCUGGUGAUAGCUGGUUGCCUAAGAAAUGAAUAGAAGUUCAGCCUCGUACACCUCAAAUCAAGAAAGCACUAAUCAAGAUACCAAGAGAAAAAUACGAGAGUUAGUUAAAGGGGGUACAGCCCCUUCAACAGAGGAUACAACCUUAUUCAGGAGGAUAAAGAUCAUAAUAUAUAAAACAUACUGUUCUAGUGGGCCUAAAGGCAGCCACCUAAACAGAAAGCGUUAAAGCUCAGACAGAAAAAAGUUUAUUAUUCUGAUAAAAAAUCUUAUUCCCCUAAAUACUAUUAGGCUAAUCCAUGCCCCCAUGGAAGAAAUUAUGCUAAAAUGAGUAACAAGAGGGCUCGCCCUUCUCCAAGCACAAGUGUAAGCCAAAACGGACCAACCAUUGGCAACUAACGAACUCAACCCAAGAGAGCACUGUGAACCAUAAAAAAAACAAGAAAAACCCACAACUUAAUAAUCGUUAACCCCACACUGGAGUGCUAUUAAAGGAAAGACUAAAAGAAAAGGAAGGAACUCGGCAAACACAAGCCUCGCCUGUUUACCAAAAACAUCGCCUCCUGCAACACAACCAUGUAUAGGAGGUCCAGCCUGCCCAGUGACUACAAGUUCAACGGCCGCGGUAUUUUGACCGUGCAAAGGUAGCGCAAUCACUUGUCUUUUAAAUAGAGACCUGUAUGAAUGGCUAAACGAGGGCUUAACUGUCUCCCCUUUCAAGUCAGUGAAAUUGAUCUGCCCGUGCAGAAGCG